AUCAGGUACCACUGUUCACACUAUCUAUCCAUCUCUGUUGUCUCUACUACACUAUAGUACUGCAUCAGGUACUACUGUUCACACUAUCUAUCCAUCUCUGUUGUCUCUACUACACUAUAGUACUGCAUCAGGUACCACUGUUCACACUAUAUAUCCAUCUCUGUUGUCUCUACUACACUAUAGUACUGCAUCAGGUACCACUGUUCACACUAUCUAUCCAUCUCUGUUGUCUCUACUACACUAUAGUACUGCAUCAGGUACCACUGUUCACACUAUCUAUCCAUCUCUGUUGUCUCUACUACACUAUAGUACUGCAUCAGGUACCACUGUUCACACUAUCUAUCCAUCUCUGUUGUCUCUACUACACUAUAGUACUGCAUCAGGUACCACUGUUCACACUAUCUAUCCAUCUCUGUUGUCUCUACUACACUAUAGUACUGCAUCAGGUACUACUGUUCACACUAUCUAUACAUCUCUGUUGUCUCUACUACACUAUAGUACUGCAUCAGGUACCACUGUUCACACUAUAUAUCCAUCUCUGUUGUCUCUACUACACUAUAGUACUGCAUCAGGUACUACUGUUCACACUAUAUAUCCAUCUCUGUUGUCUCUACUACACUAUAGUACUGCAUCAGGUACUACUGUUCACACUAUAUAUCCAUCUCUGUUGUCUCUACUAC